AAUCCAUGGACCGACCCCAUCC
rnacentral:miRNA from 1 species